rnacentral:rRNA from 1 species
GAUGAACGCUGGCGGCGUGCCUAAUACAUGCAAGUCGAGCGAACAGACGAGGAGCUUGCUCCUCUCACGUUAGCGGCGGACGGGUGAGUAACACGUGGAUAACCUACCUAUAAGACUGGGAUAACUUCGGGAAACCGGAGCUAAUACCGGAUAAUAUAUUGAACCGCAUGGUUCAAUAGUGAAAGACGGUUUUGCUGUCACUUAUAGAUGGAUCCGCGCCGCAUUAGCUAGUUGGUACGGUAACGGCUUAGCACGGCAACGAUGCGUAGCCGACCGGAGAGGGUGAUCGGCCACACUGGAAGGGAGACACGGACAAGAGGCCUACGGGAGGGAGCAGUAUGGAAUCGGCCGCAAUGGGCGAGAGCCUUGCGGAGCAACGGCGCGUGAGUGAUGAAGGUCUUGGGUUCGUGAAGCUGUGUUAUUAGGGAAGAACAAAUGUGUAAGUAGCUAUGCACGUCGUGACGGUACCUAGUCAGAAAGCCACGGCUAACUACGUG